UAACUUUACCAGCUUUUGAAUAAAAUUUAUUAUUUUUUUUAUUUAAAAUAUUAUUUUGCGUAUUCUUUUAUGCAGCAUAAAAUUUUACAGGUGUUGCAUGGUUGUCGUCAGUUCGUGUUGUGAAAUGUUUGGUUAAGUCCCUUAACGAACGUAACUUUUAUGCUGUAUUGCUUAAUUUUUAUUUUUUUUAAAAUAAAAAAGUUCUUUCAGCAGAUAUUUGCUAGUUAUAAACUAGAGGAA
rnacentral:rRNA from 1 species